rnacentral:lncRNA from 1 species
CGGAACAAACACCUGCUUAUGCAAAUGAUGCAUGCAAUGCUCGUGCAUAUGAUUUGUUUUUAUUUCAAAGGAACUCUAGGGUUUUAUUUGCAAACUUUGAAAUAUUAAUCAUUUUAUCGCAUAUGGAAAUAUCUCAUUGAAUAAUUCUUUGUCUUUCCAUGUCUGGAAGUUUUUGCAAAGAAACCCCUUAAGUUCCUUGAAAAAAAAAAUUCUCAUUUUUUGAUGAUAUGGAUGCAGAUGAAUGCAUGGAUGCAUGAAUGCAACAAUCACG